CUCUUACCAAAACCCCCUCUCCGGCCCAAUACCCAUCCUUUUCCCAAUUCCCCCUCUCUGCCCCCCUCCCGCUCUGUGUCCCAAACCAUCUCUCCACCACCCUCACCCUAUCUUUCACAAACACCCUCUGUAACCUACUCCACCUUCCAUCCUCUUUCCCAAAUGGACACUCCUUCCCCCAUCCAGCCACCAUCCCCCAUGCAGCCAACCACCCCCAUCCAGUCGCCAUCCCCCAGCCAAACCCCUUCGCCCCCAUCUGAAUGGGCAACAGAGGCCCCGGACCAACUUCAGGGAGGUGGUGAAGUGGCAGAGGAAAAUGCUGCCGUUGGAGAUCCCAUCACUAUGGCUCACAUUCUGGCAAACAUGCGGCAGCAAAUUGUUAUGUUACUAGAAAAUGUGGAUUUAUUACAAAAAUUACUUUUAUAACAAAAAAACAAACAAAAAACAAACACAAAAAAAAAACGCCGUUUAAAAAAUUAAUAAAAAACAAUUAUUAUUCCAGUUAA